CGACUAAGCGUACACGGUGGAUGCCCUGGCAGUCAGAGGCGAUGAAGGACGUGCUAAUCUGCGAAAAGCGUCGGUAAGGUGAUAUGAACCGUUAUAGCCGGCGAUGUCCGAAUGGGGAAACCCAGUGUGAUUCGUUGCACUAUCGUUAACUGAAUACAUAGGUUAACGAGGCGAACCGGGGGAACUGAAACAUCUAAGUACCCCGAGGAAAAGAAAUCAACCGAGAUUCCCCCAGUAGCGGCGAGCGAACGGGGAG
rnacentral:rRNA from 1 species